GGCACUUGGUAGAGACUGUUGAAGCCACCUGGUCCCAGCAGACCCCAGAAGGUGGCCACAUUUGCUAGUGCUGGGGCAAGGUCAUUAAGGGUGAAGCCUGGUGCCAGAUGUGU
ensembl:rRNA 5S_rRNA 5S ribosomal RNA